rnacentral:rRNA from 1 species
AAACAUCGCCUUCUGCAAAAUAUAGAAGGUCCAGCCUGCCCAGUGACUUGUUCAACGGCCGCGGUAUCCUAACCGCGCGAAGGUAGCGUAAUCAUUUGUCUUCUAAAUCAAGACUAGUAUGAAAGGCAUCACGAAGAUCUCACUGUCUCCUUUUUUUAUUCGGUGAAACUAAUCUCCCCGUGAAGAAGCGGGGAUAAUUAUAUAAGACGAGAAGACCCUAUGGAGCUUUAAACUAUGAAUCAUCUGCAUAUCAAAUAUUACCUGAAGCACUUUGACUCUAAUGUUUUAGGUUGGGGUGACCCAGAAGAAAAACCUAUCCUUCUGGCUGAUACGAAUUUAUUCUUAGCAAUAAAAUACAAUUUUAAGCAUCAACAUAUUGACAUUCAUUGACCCAGUUUUCUGAUCAACGAACCAAGUUACCCUAGGGAUAACAGCGCAAUCUACUUUAAGAGCCCCUAUCGACAAGUGGGUUUACGACCUCGAUGUUGGAUCAGGGUAUCCCAGUGGUGCAGCCCCUACUAAAGGUUCGUUUGUUCAACGAUUAAAACCCUACGUGAU